ACGAUCGAGAGAGAGGUGAUAUUCAGAGGCUUUGCGUCUUUGCUCCGGAGAAGUACAGAGAGGGUGAGAGGUGAAGAACAAUAGGGAGAGAAGACCCAUUUCAAUUCGAUCCGUUUCGACUUCCGCUAAGCUACGCUCUCUUUGGUUAUGUUUUCAGAUGGUGAUGGGAGUCUGAAUGAAAGUGAUCAGAAAAGGCUACGUCCUCCAGUCCUAUUUAGAGUGAGAAGCCACUAGCAAUCUACUCCAGAAGCAAGUCAUGCAUCAAAGUUGCAAUGGACUUUGUCUCACCUGAAAAUAUCGGCGAGUGCUUUCACUUGACAGAAGCAUUCCUCACACUUCCGGAAAAUCAUAGGGCUAAAGCGGACAAAUUGGAGGCAUAUCAUC